rnacentral:rRNA from 1 species
UACGGAGGGUGCAAGCGUUAUCCGGAUUCACUGGGUUUAAAGGGUGCGUAGGUGGGUUGGUAAGUCAGUGGUGAAAUCUCCGAGCUUAACUUGGAACUGCCAUUGAUACUAUCAGUCUUGAAUAUUGUGGAGGUCAGCGGAAUAUGUCAUGUAGCGGUGAAAUGCUUAGAUAUGACAUAGAACACCAAUUGCGAAGGCAG